rnacentral:rRNA from 1 species
UACGAAGGGGGCUAGCGUUGCUCGGAAUUACUGGGCGUAAAGCGCACGUAGGCGGUCUUUUAAGUCGGGGGUGAAAUCCUGGAGCUCAACUCCAGAACUGCCCUUCGAUACUGGAAGACUUGAGUCCGGGAGAGGUGAGUGGAACUGCGAGUGUAGAGGUGAAAUUCGUAGAUAUUCGCAAGAACACCAGUGGCGAAGGCGGCUCACUGGCCCGGUACUGACGCUGAGGUGCGAAAGCGUGGGGAGCAAACAGGG